rnacentral:rRNA from 1 species
UACGUAGGGUGCAAGCGUUGUCCGGAAUUAUUGGGCGUAAAGAGCUCGUAGGCGGUCUGUCGCGUCGGAUGUGAAAACCCAGGGCUCAACCCUGGGCCUGCAUUCGAUACGGGCAGACUAGAGUUCGGUAGGGGAGACUGGAAUUUACGGUGUAGCGGUGAAAUGCGUAGAUAUCGUAAGGAAGACCAGUGGCGAAGGCGGGUCUCUGGACAGUUCCUGACGCUGAGGCACGAAGGCCAGGGGAGCAAACGGG